AGGAGUGGGGUGGGUGGCAGGAGAAGACUUAAUCAGAGUGGAUUCUGGAACAUUCAGGACUGCGACACCUUGUAUCUGGAUAGAGAUUUGGGUCUGCGCAGGAGACGACUGGUGGUCCAGCGAGGAUUAAGGACUUGAUGGCGUAACCUACUUCUUCCCCACGAGGAGAUUGGGGAGACUGGUUUGAAGAGGAUUGACCAAAUUGGAAGAAAAUAUUUGUCCUUUGCUUUGGUGUCAGAAAAGGGAAUUUUCCGAUCUGCCACACCUCAGUGUUGCGCCAGAAAUAAUUCUUGGCUCCCCUGGAAACCAUCAGGCAAGGUAGGGCAGAGCUGCUGCUGCUGCUGCUGCUGCUGUCGCGACCACCCUGGGCUUCCUACUGAGUGGGCUGCCACCAAGUGAAGGGAUCUGCACUGAUGCUCUGAUCAUCCAGAGGUCCUUAGAUCAGCUCUGAGCAGAGUCCACUCUUGGAAGAACCUGCCUUUUGGAAGCUGCUGCCAUCUUAUGCUUGGAAAGGUGAGCAUGGGGACUAACCUCAGGAUAUUGCUUGGAAACUAGUUGUUGUAAGGUUUUCUGAAAAAUGAGUGGGUAAAGGUUUGAAGAACUCCCAUUAAAAUGAUGUGUCAGUCUAGGGAACUAAGAGAUGAAUAAAACUGGGACAGCAGCAACCGUCUUGUAUUGGGGGAGGGAAGCUGGAAAAUCAGAGUUCUGGCAUCCCAUUUUGUCCCUGUGGUGGGUCUCGUAUUUGUGGGAGGGGGUUUGCUGGGCCCUGUACUAUGCGUAGUGGCCCCACCCAUGACUGUGCAUCCAGAGCAUGAGCGCAGUGCGCCCUGGGUCUCUGGCCUGGGACAAACACCUCCUGCUUGUUAUAUAACUCAGGGUGGCCUGUGUCUUCCUUCUCAAGCCUUCUUUGCAACUCUACUUCCCCACUGCUCGGGGCUCACAGCUGAGGGUCUGAUGGGGAACAUUGGGAGGUUCCUCCCUGUAUGGGCUAGCCCUUGCCCACUUAGUGACCAAAUUUGAAUACAGAAAUGGUCUGCUGUCUCAUUUGGGGAUGUGGGCCCCAGAAUGUCCUUCUGAGUACCCUGUGUCACCUAUGGUCCCUGGGGCUUGGAGGUGGGGGUAGUGUCCUCCUUUCCCUUUUACCCUUUCUGAAGAAGACCUGACAGUAUUAGUGUGAGGGAAGGUGUGAAAGCCUAUUGGGAGGGGUUGGCAGUUCCCCUUCCUUGUCUCUAGCUUUCCUUUCCCUGGCUGGGUUCUGGAUUCCUUUGAGGCUGCCAUUUUGAAGGCAUCUCUGCUGGUCUUCCACAUGGUGGCUGGUGCUGUUGGUUUUGCUGGCCCUGCUGUGCCAAUUCUGAGAAGUGGGUGGGGGUAAAACAGGGGUCUAUGAUAGAGGGGUACAGGCACUACAUAUAUGGAUGUAACUAUGAUUGCUGCAGUGAAGGUGGUCUGGAGGCAGAACUGUCCGAUCCCACCCUUGGUCACAAGAACUGGGUCGGGGUCUAAAUGGAAACCUUCUGGGUCAGGGUUCCAUGACCUAGGGCCCCAUCUUUAGAGUAUCGGCACUUGGCUUCCAUACCCUAGUUAGCCUGAAACUCAGAGAUGUUCCAUGAAGAGCCUAGUGUUAGGGAGAGUAGAGGCAGACACAGCAGCUCAUCUGAGAUGUGGCAGACCUGUGUUUUGUGUUCUUCAAAUAGGCUCUGUCUCUGGCAGCCUCCACAUGGGGAUGGGGGUGAGGUACACAGCAGGCAGCAGUGUUUGGUCGGUAGCCCUGCCUUUCCUCCAUGCCCCCUGCCAGGGCUACAGUUCUAACUGCUGUCCUCUAGUGAGGCUCCCUGCUGCCCAACCCUUUCUAGGCUCUGCUGCGGAUAGCGGCCAUCUUGUCUUCCUGCUCAGAGAUUUAAAAUGGUUUCCUAUCAUUGUCAGGUUGAAAUUCCUCCCAUUCAGUCAAAUACUCAGGGCUGUCUGAAAGUGGCCUUAGCUUUCCCAAGAAGCCUUCCUCAGGUAAAAACUGGCCAACUCACAUUUCUCUGCUUUUAUUUUCUCCCUUUUCAACACCGGUGUUUUCCAUGCCUACUCUCUACCUGUUGCAGUCCCACUGUCUUCAUGGAGCCCUCCCUGAGCGCCCUCUAAGAAGAAAUCCCUGUAACCACUGCUAUAAAUCUCCUUUCUUUCAUGGUAUUUUGUUGUGUGUAGUUCCGUGUGUUUUCAAUCAGAGUUUGUGCUCUAACAAGAAGCCUGGGGAAGAGGGAGGAAGACAUCCCUAUUCAGAGCUUCUGUUGCUGGAUGCCACAUUAGACACUUCAAGAACAGUUACUUGUUUCUUUUUUAUCAUAACCCUUUUAAGAAGAGUCCUGUGGCUGACAAGAAUCCCAGUCUUCCAGAGUCUUUUUCCUGUAUGAAUCUUCCAUGUUUGCAAAAUCUUAGAAGGCAACACCUUUCAAUGUGGCUAUUUUAGGAAUAUUGUAAGUCUCUUAACACUAUAUUAGGUCAUUCAACUGGUCUAUAUCUACUUUGUAACAUUCUCCUUUUCUUGCAUAGCCAGAUUCGGUCAAGGUGAUAUAUUUUUUUGUAGAUGAAAUAAACAAACCUUGGUUGUUUUUUUGUUUUGUUUUGUUUUGUUUUUUCCUGCCUUCCUCCUGUAAGAACAGCCAGAGGUAGGUAGGUAGGAAUCCCUUCAGAGGAGGGUGAGCCCCAGGCAUUGAGGCAGGUGAACACAUUGGAUUGGUCAUACCAUGUCUGUACCCCAAUCUCAGUUGGGUAAUUUUAGACAAGUCAUUCUAUUUCCAACCUAAGUGACCUUAGUUUUUGAAGUAGAGCCCUAGCAGCCUAUUCUGUAGGCAUGUCCAUUGUAUUGUCUGUUCCUUGUAGAUUUGUCUGAAGCCCUCUUUUCCUGCCUGGGGACUUAUGACAUGUAAAAUGAGAUAAUAGCAGGUGACUACCAAAUUAAGGGAGAUUUAUGUACUUCUAUGCUGUCACAGCAAGUCCAGAGAGGAAUGUCUCAGUAGUUUGGACCUCAAGCCCACAAGGUGGUGGUUUUCCCCCAGGGGUAGUGCCCCUUUGUUUCCUGCUUUAGAAACAAAGGGGCACUGGUGGUAGCAGAAUGGAGGUUAAGCAGGGAGUGUUCCUGGGUAGGAGCCUUUUGAUGCUAGGUUUGUUUCUCUUCUUGCUGAAUCUCAACAGUGACUGCAUGCUUCCUGAUGCUGUGAGCCCUGUGGGAGGGGUAUCUGAGCACCCUGAUGGCCCUCAUCACCAAUUCUGGGCUGUGUAGCUGAGAGUCCUCUGUCGACAGCAAUCUGGGCCCUGGUGAUGGCUGUUUUGGUGUGUGUGUGUGUGUGUUUCCUUUUUUUCCUCUUUGGAAGAUGACUCAGUGUAUCAGGAGCCGGGAGAUGGAGCUCUCAGCUGAACAGCCAGAAUGUUCUGACAACAUGAAAGCAGCAAAAACAGCUCAUUGGGGCUCUGGGCCGAUUCUCAGCCUUGGGGCAUUUUUAGGGAGGGCUAGGUAGUAAGAAGGCCACUGCUGUGUGUCAGGGAUGGGGAAACACCAGACACCUCACAAGGGUUCUGAGACCCUUGGAUUUUAGAUUCAGAGGAGAGACAGCUGGUUAUUCAGUGGGCUUAGAAAACAGUACCUUUUUACACACACACACACACACACACACACACACACACACACCCUUUCUUCUUCUCCUUUUUUCUUCUUUUUUUUAAAAAUUCUUCUCACUGGUCCCAAAUGAUAGACAUAUUUUUCAGAGCUGGAUACCCCUUAGGAUUUCUCAGUGGGUCUGUAUGUGAUAGGUUUGGUGGUCUUCUUGAGGGUAGAAGGUGACAGAUUCCUUCUUCCCACAGUGGCCAAGGAGAUCCUCCAUGACAGUGUACUGUAGUCCCCUGGAGUAGAUGCUUUAGUAGAGGUAGGAUGCUGGAACACCCUUUGUCUGCUGAGCUUUGUGUGGAUGGUAGUCUACCUCACUUGCCCUAACCUCCCCUGUAGUAUGUCAGCUUUCCCAUUCCUUGUGGUGGCAUGUCAGAGUUUACUUUUUCCUUCCAUCUUCCUCGCUUUCUUUGAAAUGAAUUCUCUCUGCAUCUUCCUUCUGCCCCUUUAGCACAUCGUCAUGGAAGCUCAGAGUUCUAGGCUUUUCCUGCAGCAUUGUGCUAAAGACACAUGACCCCUUGCCCCACCCAUCAUGCCUCUAUUGCAAUUGUAUCCUGGUCAAACUAUUACCCUUUUCUCUCUGGCAUCUUUGACACAGUCUAGGUGAGGAACAAACAAUUUAAGUUUGGGUAUGAGAGACAUCCUGGCCCUGAGCUUCAUCCAGGCUUUUUCCAGGUACCACUUUUAAUUAUUACAUUUUCUAGCCACUGAUUUUAGUGUAGACAUUUGGCACCAGAGCACUUCUUCUACCCAAGGACCACCUAGAAUGACUCAUUUGGGAUCUCUGGGAGGUAUGUCUGAGGACCAAAUGGGGGCAGGGAGAUAUGACUGAGAUCACAGCAGAGUAGAGCAGAACAGGCAUAGGAACUAGCUAUAACUAUAUCUAUACUCACAGUGCUCUCAAAGGUAUCCAAAGCCUCUAGCUUUUGUGUCCGAGUAGAGAACAUCAUGACUACAAAGGCUGCAUAUGUGUAGGAGUUGGGUACUUGAGGGUUAUACUUCUUGGUUCUGAGCUAUGCAUAUGAUGAAAACCUGACUAUCAUGUUUCAGAGAACUUUGUUGUUUGUUUGUCACUUGACAAAAGGGUAGUGGAUAGGUACUCAGAUGUUGUGCCCACGGGUACUGGUCUUUUUCCACAUUGCUCUGCCCAGGGUUAUCUUGCAUCUGUCACAGCUGAGGACUAUUAUCUCAGGGGCUAGAUAUAAACUCCGAUUGAAAAUCAUUGCUUGAUUAAUUUUGUGAACAGAGCCCAGCUGAUCUACCUUCCUUUCUCUUCCCAACAGAGAAUUCAACAGAAUACAACUCCAUCUCUAAGUAGGUGACAACCUCUUGGCAACUCAGACUCAGCUGAGGAUGAUGUUUGUGCAUCUAAGCCAUACUGCUGGUUAAAGCAGUUUGCUUGCAUUUUUAUAGAACAGAAAAGAGGAGCUACUUGACCAUUUUGCUUUCAGUAGGUAAGUGUUCAUCUUCAUUCUUGUAUGUUCUUUUCUACUUUCAAAUAUGCAAAGUCAAUAGAUAUCUGUAAUCCUGGGUGCUAUACCUUCUUCCUCUCCUAUGUGCCCUCCCUUUGUCUUCAGAAGGAAAGGCUGGAAUUUAGUAUUCAGCCACUACAUAUCUCCUUAGACUCACAUUUUAGAAGCUAGUUUUCUCUAAAAUGGAUCCAGUAGCCAUGUCCUUGGUGAGGAGUACUAAGAGCCUCAUGAAGGACCCUGCUCCACUCACUGUGGCCAGCUUGUGCUGAGGCUCUUAGCUGGCUGGCUGCAUGAGGAUGGUCCUUGCCAGCACUUGGCAUAGAUCUGCCAAGUUCUAGCUCCAAAUCUCUAGACUGGUAGGAACCUCAACUAUAUAUAGCCUUGAGCUAAGCCAUUCUUAUCAGACGUGUCUAUCCUUCCCUGUGGGAGAAUAGUACUUCUAUCAUAACCACAGUGUGGAGAGUGAGUUAUCUCCAAGGGCUGGAAGGUGUAUAUGUCCACAUCAGGCUUCGGUCUGCCAUACUUAUUCUUCUUUUUCCUAUUUCAGAUGCUGAUAAAUGAAAGGUCAUGCUGGAUGAAGUUGCUGAGGUGGAAUGAGGGCCAGUAGGAUGCCAUGUUUAGAGAAGGAAAGACUUGGGCACUCAGUAUGGCUAAAGGUGGUUAUGCCAUACAUCAAAUACAAGCUUACAGUAUCUCCUCUGUUUCCUGCUUAACUUGCUCUACUCAAGAAUAUCUUUUGACCUUUCUUCACUCUUUUGACCUUUUACUCUCUGUGCUUUCCUACAACCCUUCCUCUUCUUCCCUUUGAUUUUUUUCUUUAGGAUGAAUGAGGACAUUCUCAGCUGCUGGUCCAAGAGCCAUGUCUGUUCUUUCUGUUCUUUAUCUUUACCCCCAUUUAGCAAGGCAGGGAGAGGAAGUUGUCCUGGGAAGGAAGGUGGGUAGUGAAUAAGCCCAUAGUGUUGAGUGGUGGAGUAUGGUAGAUUAGAUAGUCUUUUCCUUCUCAUAGGUACUCUUGAUUCACCAAUUUAUGUGGCUCCAUGACUUCAGCUGUGGUCUGAUGUAACAUGGACCUAGUCUUGUUGGUGGACUAAUAUCAGGCUGCUGAUUAGAAACUAGAAGCAACAAAGGAAAGGCCUGAGCCUUCCUCCCAGAUAGGUAGAGUAUGUUUGCUCCCUGGACAUGUUCCCUCAAACUUUACCAUUCAGAACCUCCAACAAUUGUUCUUUUCUUUCCAUUCCUCCAUUCCUGGCUUCUCUGUGAAUGGGGUGAGUAACUGGCAGAGUGCUGGCAUAAGGUCAGCCUGCUCAACUAGCUAGGCUGUGAGAUAUUUGGGAGACAUCUGGGCAGCACUGUAGACAGGGUAUGAUAGUACCAGGGCACUUUUACUUCCCACAGUUGUGGGAAGGAAGCUUCUUGGCUGCUGACAUCUAACCUGAGCUUAUUCUGGGUGUAGUUCCCUUUACAGUCCCUAAGGUUCUAGGAACUGCCCAGGGCUCAAGCAUGCUCUUUCCUCUGAAGAAUGGGUAUUUUGGACACACUGAGCUUUUAAGGAGCUUAGGCUAGGUCUGGGGUCUAAAGUUUAGACUGGGCUGAGCAGUGACUGGAUUCUAGCUUUUUCUCUACUUGGGAUUUUCCUUUGAACAAAUCAUUUUCUUCUUUAGGCCUUCAAUUGUCUUCAGAAUAUCUCCAGUCACUUGACAGGGAAACACUUUUCCUCUGCCUUACAACAACAGCAGUGUUGAGUUAAAGUGGUGAUGUCCCUCAAAACUGGAAUGACAGCUUCAUUGUAGACACAAACCAGAAAGCAGACAGCAGGUGCUUGCUGCAAUACUCAGAAGUCCCAGUCUAUCAUUGCUGGCAGUGUUCUUGGCCCUUAGGGCUACUAGGAACUAAAUAGCAGCCAAAUGUCUAGGGUCUAAAGAGGAAAGGAAUAAUCAUGGAUAAUUCUACUAGGUACCUGUAGAAUCUCAACCCCAGCCAGGUCAUGCUACUUACACUACUGGCAUUAUGUAGAUGUGUUUCACCUUCCCUGCCCCCUCCCACUACUGUCCAAGGAAGAUUAAUGAAUCCGACUCACACAUUUGAUUGUCUUGUCUCUCCCCUUGAGACAAGCCUCUGAGAUCCCUGCCAAGAAAGUCAGUUUGGAUGAGUUAUCUGUUAUUUUAAGGAGCUGGACAAAUUCAGUCACUGACUCAGUGGUGUGCGAGGGACAGCUGGGGAAUGGAGGAGCGGAAGUUUGACAAAAAGGUAAGUUCAGUCAGCUUUACAGCUGGGAGGUGGAAAGGAAUAAACAUGGUUCUUCAAGAUGAACCCCACUGGGAGGCUGAAGCCAGAUGUGCUGCUAGUUGUACUUCAGAACCCUAGGUCUUGUGCCCAACUCUAGUGACCUCUGCUACCAUUCACAACCCUUCUUUUGCCUGAUUGGGAAAGUGGGUGGAGAGCAAAGAGGAUCUUGGCUUUGCCUUUUGUCACACAGCUGUCUCUGUAAAUUAGGGCUGCACCACCCUGCCCAUUUCCCUCUUUCAGACCCUCAUCUAAUGCUUUGCUCCUAGUCACUAACCUGGCUUCUGCUGUGUGACAGGCAGAAUUGUGCAUUGCCAGCCAAGCAGGCAGGACAGUUAGCAUGCCUUGUAGGAUCUAAGCAUGCCUGGCACUUUUCCCUUGGCCUCUGAGUCUGUGAGUUCUGGAAGACAGCUGUGGUACUGAAGAUGAAAUAGCAUGGCUGACCAUAGUAAAAUGCAAGGUGUCCUACCCAGGGACCUGAUUGGUCUACACCAUCUGGGUUCCACGGUAUCUUUUCCUUACUAGGGCUAUGAAUUGUUGAGUGCAUAUCUUGGCUCUGUCCUCUGGCUUUAGUGUGUCCCCAAGACUGCAGCCUUAGAGGAGGAUGUGAACUCUCACAGGUCACUUUUUUAUACAUAUGGCAUGCCUCUGGGAUAAGUAAGAGAUACUGUCCUUUUAAUCAGCCUGCCAUCUAUAAGAGGGCAUUGCUUUCCUUCCUUUUCCUGGUCAGUGGCCAUGAGGAAAGUAUACACUGGGUUUGGUUCCUUGCUGGUUCCUUUCCACUGCUUAUGGUUGAUAAGCAAGAAAAUACUCUUGAGGCCCCAUGGUCUGUACAGAGCCUGGUGCUGUAGAGUCAUGCCCAUGUGGGUAGAGUACAGGAAUAGGGUGAAGGGAACCACACAGGGCCAUGGUUGUUUGUGUUUGGAUAAUAGGAACAAGUCACGAGGGCGUGGGAAGACACAUCCAAAUGUCUAGACUCUAGGCAGGGUGGAGCCAGGAUGAGUCUCUAGUGAAGCAAGGAGAUGGCAUAUCUUGGUCUCCGUAUGCCAUCCAUGGAAGAGGAAACUGUUCUCCCAGUCUUGGUUACACAUAUAUUAUUUCCUUUAUAUUGUUAGUGAAAGUGUAAUUAUUGAAUGAUUUAAAUUAAAGUCACACAGUUGAUGAGUGAUAUUGAGAUUUGAUUCAGCACUUCUGAUUCCAAAGCCCUUGUUUUCUCCUCACCCUUGGGCUGAAGUCAGACAUUUUUGUGAAUUAACAUCCUCAAGAAAUUAUAUAAUCUCAAGUGAAAGCAAACUCUCUAUGUCCUAGCAAGGCUGUGCACAUUUUUGGGGGAGGUGAGGCAGAUGUUAUUUGGUGUCUGUGGAAGAGGGAAAAUUCUCUUCUAAAUGUAGCGGAAAGUACUAGGUGCUGGAAGUCCAGAGGCCCAAGACUAGAUUUCUUCUUGUGCUGUGGGUGUAAGAGUGCCAAUAACAAAUCAGCGUAAAAUACACAGUAGGCAUAAGUAACAUUGUGUGUGGAUGAGAAAGAUACCACCCACUGAAAAUAUGGUGACUAAUUUCUGUCAUGUCAGCACUUAGGAGGCUGAACCAGGAAACUUGAGUUCCAGGCUUGCCUGGGCUAUGUAGUGAGACCUUAUCUCAAAACAAAACAAAACAGGAGAGAAGAAAAAAGGGGUCCAGAUGAUAGACAAGUCCUGAGGCACCUCAGUACCCUGGGAAACUGUCUUAGUUGGGCUGUCUUCCAAAAGAUUAGAACUGAUAUGGACACCAACUCCUUUUUUCCCUAGGUAUUAAAAAAAAAAAUCCUUACAAGUUCUCUGUGGCUCACAGAAGCCUGUACUAAGUUAGGAAUCAAGGCGGGAGGAGAGGUCAGACUCUGAGCCACCAUCUUACUGUUAUUUUCACUUUGUAUGGCUGCCCUUAACCUCUGUCUUCUUCCUUCAACCCUCAUCAGGCAUUAGCUGCCUUUGUGCCUCAGUCUAAUCACCAUGCCUUUCUUGUCUGUGCAGCACAGGGAACAUUCAGGUCAGGUCUUUGCUAAGUCACUGACUAAAUACGUGCUUACAGGUGGCUAAUUUGAAUCCCAAUCUCUGCUAGGACUAUGGUUUCUUCAGGAAACGGACAAGCCCAGGUGGGGAGAAGUCACCCAGUGUUAGAUGCUUUGUGUGCUGUGUGCUCUGUGAGGUCGAGGUGGGCCAGUGGUGCUGAGCCACAAGUGCUUCUGCUCCAUGGUGUUCAACUUCAGGACUCAGAACUUGUUUACUUGGAAAGAGGUGACUCUGGUGACCCAGGCUAUGCAGUUCCCUCCUCCUUGGCCUAACAUUGCUGCUUGGGACUACUCAAAAUAUAGGAGCUACCAUUGGCUGAAAGUGCCAAAAGCUGCACAGGGAUCAGGUGAUGUGUGGUUAGAGGUUAUGGCAUGGGGAAAUAGGUCAGGGAAAGUGGAUUUAUGCAGUUUUGUGUUCAUUCCCAUGAACACAAGUCAGUUUACUUGUCUGUGAAACAGGUUCUGAAUGAGGAUCCUGUUGGAGGUUCCAACUCAUGUCACCUCUAGGCCUGUCCUGGAUGUUUGUGCAAUGUUUGCUUAGCCAGAAACUCAAGGCCAGGAAAAUGAACCCAGUUGAGAGAGAACACCAAGUUUUGUUCCAAAGAGGCACCCUAGCUAGUGCUAGUGAGAAUGAUGGUUGGUGAUGGGCUUUGGGUAGGUAGUAGGAAUGUGUUUUUGCAUGGGUGGCAGUGAAGAGAAAGGGUUAACUGAGUGAAAGUAGUUGGUGAGGACCUACUAGGUGACAGGAUAGGACACUGUUCCCUCUUAGAGACAAGAGAUGUGCAUAUGAGAGCUGGCUGUGGUGCAGGACAUGGAUUGGAAGACCCUGUAUGUUCAAGGGAGGUGUUCUGUUCAAGGCCUGCUCCUGUGCCUCCUUUGCACAGUAAGUGUGGCUGGGACUCUGUCUAUCUGCAAUGUGACAAAAAUUCUCCAAAGCAGCCUGGGUAGGAGCUCCUGGGCCAAGGAACAUGUGGAACAGUCUUAAGGAUUCUCAGGAGCUUUAAGAAGCCUUAAAGUCACUACACACUUAUAUCUCUUGACAUUAGCUGGUUCACUGAGUCAUUUCCCAAUACUGCGCAGAGGGGUAGCAUUGGUCUUGCCAUGACUGAACUGAGCCAGGGAGAGCCCUCUCAGGACCCAAUUGCUUGUUCCCAGCUUUGGAUUUCCAACCCAAGUCCUCUACUCUAGCUAGACCAGGG